rnacentral:rRNA from 1 species
GUUUCCGUAGGUGAACCUGCGGAAGGAUCAUUACUGGAACUUCUGGACCCGAGUCCGGAGGGAGAGAGAGACACGCUGCUGGUGAGAAAAGGCCGGCCGGGCACGUCUCGCUGCCUUGCCUUUACCGUGACCGGCGCUCCAGCAGGGAGGCCGGAGACGAGGGGGACCGAACUCAACUUGAUGCCGGUCUCCGAACGCUGGCGCCGAGAGGCGUCGGCCGUCUGCCGUCGCCCGACCGCUCGGGUCCCACUGCCGGGGUUGGUGCACUCCCCGGCCGGCUGGGUCCGUUCCGGACGGGCGGCACGUGGCGGGCACUCCCAACAUACUUCGCUAGGACGGGGGUACCUGGCCUGCCCUCAGGGUUGGGUGGGGCAGAUCUAGUCUCUCCUCUCGGCAGAGACGAGGUUCAAAGAGGAGUCGUACAGGUGCUUACUCCCGCCCCCGUUAUUUUUCACUUGAAGAAAUUCUUCCUGGAAAGCAUUGUAGGGCUUGGCUCGCGCCUCGCCCCGAAAGGCAAAAUACAACUCUAAGCGGUGGAUCACUCGGCUCGUGUAUCGAUGAAGAGCGCAGCCAGCUGCGUUAACUAAUGUGAAUUGCAGGACACAUUGAACAUCGAUAUCUUGAACGCACAUUGCGGCAGCGGUUUCGCCGCUGCCAUGUCUGUCUCAGGGUCGGUCAAACACGUCGUGCCCUGGCUCUUGCCGGGGAGAGCGCCUUGGGUGGUCGCGGUGCCCAAGGAAAAGAACCCCGUCUAACCCCUUCCAGACCCGGACACCAGGCACCCGGUGCCCUCCCUGCGAUGCAUCGCCGGUCGGGUUCCCACACGGCUUGUGGUCGAGCGCACGGUCUGACCGCUGCUCGAGUCUGCCCACUGUGGAGGACCGUUCUGGCCGGCACCGGCUGACCGGGAAAGAGGCCGCACUGCUCUGCCCGUCCGAAAUGGGUUUUUUGCCGAACACGCUUGUCGACCUGAGAUCGGGCGAGA